UUGCUCUUCAACGAGGAAUACCUAGUAAGCGUGAGUCAUCAGCUCGCGUUGAUUACGUCCCUGCCCUUUGUACACACCGCCCGUCGCUACUACCGAUUGAAUGGCUUAGUGAGAUCUCCGGAUUGGCGUUUGGGAGCCGGCAACGGCACCCUUUUGCUGAGAAGCUGAUCAAACUUGGUCAUUUAGAGGAAGUAAAAGUCGUAACAAGGUUUCCGUAGGUGAACCUGCGGAAGGAUCAUUAGUGAAUUGAGCUGGCUUCGGCCGCUCUGAUCUAUACACACCUGUGAACUGUUGGCCUUCGGGUCUUUAAAUACAACUGUGACGAACGUAAAUUAUUAUAACAAAUAAAACUUUUAACAACGGAUCUCUUGGCUCUCGCAUCGAUGAAGAACGCAGCGAAAUGCGAUAAGUAAUGUGAAUUGCAGAAUUCAGUGAAUCAUCGAAUCUUUGAACGCACCUUGCGCCCGUUGGUAUUCCGACGGGCAUGCCUGUUUGAGUGUCGUGAACAACCUCAACCUUGAUUGGUUUUACCAUCAAGGCUUGGACUUGGGUGUUGCUGCUGCAAAGUGGCUCGCCUUAAAAUCAUUAGCUGGACUUGUCUAUGACUUGGUUCGACUCGAUGUAAUAAGUAUUCAUCGGGGACAGGGUAAAACCUGGCCAAGGCUUGAUGCCGUCUGCUUCUAAUCAUGUUCUCACUCUGAGACGCUACUUUACUGUGUGGCCUCAAAUCAGGUAGGAUUACCCGCUGAACUUAAGCAUAUCAAUAAGCGGAGGA
rnacentral:rRNA from 1 species